UGGGGAAUUUUGGACAAUGGGGGCAACCCUGAUCCAGCCAUUCCGCGUGAGUGAAGAAGGCCUUCGGGUUGUAAAGCUCUUUCAGCAGGAACGAAACGGUCGGCUUUAAUAAAGUCGGCUAAUGACGGUACCUGCAGAAGAAGCACCGGCUAACUACGUGCCAGCAGCCGCGGUAAUACGUAGGGUGCGAGCGUUAAUCGGAAUUACUGGGCGUAAAGCGUGCGCAGGCGGCGACAUAAGACAGAUGUGAAAUCCCCGGGCUCAACCUGGGAACUGCGUUUGUGACUGUGUUGCUAGAGUGUAGCAGAGGGGGGUGGAAUUCCACGUGUAGCAGUGAAAUGCGUAGAGAUGUGGAGGAACACCGAUGGCGAAGGCAGCCCCCUGGGUUAACACUGACGCUCAUGCACGAAAGCGUAGGGAGCAAACAGGAUUAGAUACCCACGUAGUCCCUGAGCGGGCUGGCAAGGCGCAU
rnacentral:rRNA from 1 species